rnacentral:rRNA from 1 species
GGAUCAACUAACUGGUCGUGCCUACGGUACGUACUGGUUUUGUUGGUUUCUCCCUCUGACUAGCCGCGAUGUCAUUAACUUGGUGUCGCGGGGAAUCAGACUGUUACUUUGAAAAAAUUAGAGUGUUUAAAGCAGGCUAACGCUUGAAUACAUUAGCAUGGAAUAAUGAAAUAGGACGUAUUGAUCCUAUUUUGUUGGUUUCUAGGAUCGACGUAAUGAU